rnacentral:rRNA from 1 species
UACGGGGGGAGCAAGCGUUGUUCGGAUUUACUGGGCGUAAAGGGCGCGUAGGCGGUCAGCACAAGUCAGUUGUGAAAUCUCCGGGCUUAACUCGGAAAGGUCAACUGAUACUGUGCGACUAGAGUGCAGAAGGGGCAACUGGAAUUCUCGGUGUAGCGGUGAAAUGCGUAGAUAUCGAGAGGAACACCUGCGGCGAAGGCGGCAUCCUGGACUGGUACUGACGCUCAUGAGCGAAAGCGUGGGGAGCGAUCCGG